rnacentral:rRNA from 1 species
AUCAGGCACUAUUUUGCGGAUAAUCCCGUGUACCCCGAGUCGUACUUUCGGCGUCGGUUUAGGAUGAGCACCGAGUUGUUCAGGCGCAUUGCCGAGAAACUAGCGAGUCAUGACCGAUUUUUUCAGCAAAGGAGGAAUGCCAUCGGAGAGCUCGGGCAUAGCACCUUUCAGAAGGUGACAGUGCUUUGCGUAUGUUGGUAUACAGUAUCCCCAUUGAUCUAG